CCCGCACAAGCGGUGGAGCAUGUGGUUUAAUUCGAUGAUACGCGAGGAACCUUACCUGGGCUCAAAUGUAUGUUGACGUAUUUCUGAAAGGGAUACUUCUUCGGACAAUAUACAAGGUGCUGCAUGGUUGUCGUCAGCUCGUGCCGUGAGGUGUCGGGUUAAGUCCCAUAACGAGCGCAACCCCUACCUUUAGUUGCCAUCAGGUAAUGCUGGGGACUCUAAAGGAACUGCCUACGCAAGUAGUGAGGAAGGCGGGGAUGACGUCAAAUCAGCACGGCCCUUACGUCCAGGGCUACACACGUGCUACAAUGGCCGAUACAGAGGGCAGCUACCUGGUGACAGGAUGCAAAUCUCCAAAGUCGGUCUCAGUUCGGAUCGGAGUCUGCAACCCGACUCCGUGAAGUUGGAUUCGCUAGUAAUCGCGCAUCAGCCAUGGCGCGGUGAAUACGUUCCCGGGCCUU
rnacentral:rRNA from 1 species